rnacentral:rRNA from 1 species
AGAGUUUGAUCAUGGCUCAGAAUCAACGCUGGCGGCGUGCCUAACACAUGCAAGUCGCACGAGAAAGGGACUUCGGUCCUGAGUACAGUGGCGCACGGGUGAGUAACACGUGAAUCAUCUACCUUCGAGUGGGGAAUAACUGAGAGAAAUCUUAGCUAAUACCGCAUAAUACCUACGGGUCAAAGCAGCAAUGCGCUUGAAGAGGAGUUCGCGGCAGAUUAGUUAGUUGGCGGGGUAAUGGCCCACCAAGACGAUAAUCUGUAUCCGGCCUGAGAGGGCGCACGGACACACUGGAACUGAAACACGGUCCAGACUCCUACGGGAGGCAGCAGUGGGGAAUUUUGCGCAAUGGGGGAAACCCUGACGCAGCAACGCCGCGUGGAGGAUGAAAUCCCUUGGGAUGUAAACUCCUUUCGAUAGGGAAGAUAAUGACGGUACCUAUAGAAGAAGCCCCGGCUAACUUCGUGCCAGCAGCCGCGGUAAUACGAGGGGGGCAAGCGUUGUUCGGAAUUAUUGGGCGUAAAGGGUGCGUAGGCGGUUUGACAAGUCUUAUGUGAAAUCUAUGGGCUCAACCCAUAGUCUGCAUGGGAAACUGUCGGGCUUGAGUAUGGGAGAGGUGAGUGGAAUUUCCGGUGUAGCGGUGAAAUGCGUAGAUAUCGGAAGGAACACCUGUGGCGAAAGCGGCUCACUGGACCAUAACUGACGCUGAUGCACGAAAGCUAGGGGAGCAAACAGGAUUAGAUACCCUAGUAGUCC